CAACCUCUGCAAGCUGUCUGGUCCCCGUGCUGGGCUGGGCGAGUACCUCUUUGAAAGGCUCACCCUCAAGAAUGACUAGGAGC
rnacentral:pre_miRNA from 1 species